rnacentral:lncRNA from 1 species
UACAAUAAAAUAACAUAACUGGUUUUCAAUGUUUUUUUUUUAAUUUAGUGGGAGGUUAUAAAUACAGUAGAAUUGCUUCAGCAAACUUCAGAACAUUGCCUUGCUCCAACAUAGAUUGCUACUCCAUUUAAGAAGUGAUCAAGCAUAAUCAUUGCCAUUGCGUUUGCAUUUUAUCUGUUGAUUCAAACUGUAGUUUCAAGGGGACAAAAUACAAUGCAUUCUUAAAUUCUUAAAUUCUAUAAUGAUUUGAGGAAAUAUGAAAAAAAAUUAAAGACUUCACCAAAUGUGAAUCAUUGUCUGAGAGGUGUUAUUUUGUACAACUAAGAUCCCCCUGUCUUGACUAAAAGCUCAGUAUAGCUGGGCAGCAGAAAUUCAACUGUGCAAAGGCAACUUGUGUUUCAGGAAUUAGCUAUUUCCCACCGUUAUGUCAGAUAUCGAGUGGAAACACUCAGCUCUUCUGUAUAGCAUAGGAAUAUCAGGUUUUACUGCACCUAUUCAGAGUGUUAUCAAGUAUGACAUACUAUAUAAAGCUAAAGGUGUUGGGUAAGCUCUAAAAAUUUGCUUAAACCUCGUUGGUAUAGAUUUGUUCCCCCUAAUUUUUGUCUUAAGGUGUUUAAUACAUUCUAAAGCAAAUUUCCAUUGACUCUGCAUUCAAAAAUCCCCAUGAGAAAGUAGUGAUGCAAUACAGUCUUUUGUCAAUAAAUGUGUUUAAGAUGAAGACCACUUCUGUGAUAAUUGGCUCAUUAUGUACAGUAAUGCUUUACUGCUAUUGCUAAUAGGGUACAAUGAAUCAUUCUCCCAUGUUGGGUGACUUAGAUUAAAAAAUAGAGAAAGCUCCAUCUGAAAUGUAACUGUUUCAAAACUGAAAUUUUCAUUUUGUGUUCAGUUGGUGAGGUUAAAUACUUAAAGACACGGCCUUUGGUUCCUGGUGUACUUACAGACAAAAAUAGCUCAAGAGAGAAACAAGAAUCCAUUGUCACACGACUUUCUUUGAGUGGUGUAGGGACCAUCUCUUUUUAAAAUCACUGUAGUCACGGAUAGAGAACAUAAUCUCAAAAAUGUUUAGACAUGCUCAAUGCAAUCUUUAACAUUUAUAAGAGUAGCUUGUGCAUAAAAAUUUAAACAUUUUAAAUGUUGUAAGCAUUACUAAAUGGUAUAAUUGUUCUUUUCUGUAAAUUUAAAUAUUUAUACACUUUUGUAGAAUUAAAGUAUGCCAAUUUAGUUUUCCUUUGGUAUAUGUUGUCUUUUUUCAAAAUAAAUUUUGCUAGUAUUUCAAAC